rnacentral:rRNA from 1 species
UACAGGGGGGGCAAGCGUUGUUCGGAAUUACUGGGCGUAAAGGGUCUGUAGGUGGCCAACUAAGUCAGACGUGAAAUCCCUCGGCUUGACCGGGGAACUGCGUCUGAUACUGGAUGGCUUGAGUUUGGGAGAGGGAUGCGGAAUUCCAGGUGUAGCGGUGAAAUGCGUAGAUAUCUGGAGGAAUACCGGUGGCGAAGGCGGCAUCCUGGACCGACAUUGACGCUGAACGGCGAAAGCUAGGGGAGCAAACGGG